CAGGCGUGAGGGAUCUUUGAAGAAUUCAAUGGACCACGUGGUGUGAAAGCCGCGAUACAUGGAACUAAAAGUUGGGUCGCCAACAUGGCUACGGCAGCAAGAAGGCUCGGAGACGCAGGCGGUGAUCGAUUCCAACGGUUCACAAGUUUUUUGUUUUGAGGAUAACGGCUAGUGAAUCAAUCAACUUUUGAGGAAGGAAGGAGAGGAGGAGAACUGGUACAGAAAUGUAAUGAUAGAAAUCAUUUUUGAUUGAAACUAGGUUUAUCCAAUAGAAAUAAACUGAUAGAGGAUCGUCAAAAAAAUCAAAUAGCAGCAUAUACUUUUUCGAUAUGAGAAUCAUUAUCUAAUGAAUUCAACGGACUUGCGCUUGAAUUGAAGUAGCGCCUUUUGAAUAUGAGUGGGGCUCCUAGGUGGCACGUUCGUGGAGCCAAACCGAAUGAAGAGCAAAAGGAAGGUUAGGUGAGGCCACCCGGCCUCGAAUAGGAGGGGGCUUAGCUCUAAAUCCCGCCGGCUUGCAGAAAUGAAUGGAUCAAAAGGGAGG
rnacentral:lncRNA from 1 species